UUGCACUCCUUACCAUCGUGCUAUGAUCAAUUCCGCAUGACAUAUCACAUGAAUAAGGAAGAGGUCACACUCAGCAAACUUCAGGGACUUCUCAAGACCGCAGAAACAGGUCUUAAGGGGAAGUCGGUUGUUAACACUCCUACUCCAAACUCUACUCCGGUUUUGGCAAUCGGGAAAAGUCGAGGGAAGAAGAGAAAGAGCUCUUCGAAGGGUACCAAGGCUAGGACCCUUGAUGGCUCUUCUUCAAGUGGAACCAAGAAAGGUUUCAUCACUCCUUCUUCUGACCCAAAAGAGGCUGAAUGCUUCUAUUGCCAUGAAAAGUCACAUUGGAAGCGGAACUGCCCAAAGUACCAGCAAGAUGUGAAGGAUGGGAAAGUUAAACCCAACCAUGCAGGUAUUUACACUAUCAUAUCUAAUAACUCACCCCAUUCUAAAUCUUGGGUCCUUGAUACCGGUUGUGGUAUUCAUAUUUGUUGUGACUUGCAGGGACUAAGAAGAAGUGAGAAUGUGGAGCAAGGAAGAAUAAACUUAAUCAUGGGGAAUAGGAAAGCUUUACCUGUCACCAAGAUUGGAGUUUAUACUUUAUCGCUAAGUAGUGGGUUUAGUUUAGAUUUGAAUAAGUGUUGUUAUUCGCCAGAAAUGGCAAGAAAUAUUAUUUCCUUUCAUGCAUUGUAUAAACAAGGUUUCACCUUUUCAUUUGAUAAUGAAGUUGGUUCGAUUAAUGCUUUCUUUAAUAAUGUUCUUUAUUUUAAAGCAUUACCUUGUGAUAGUGUGUAUAAAACUGUAUCUGUGGUUGAUAACUUAGGAAAUAAUGUUUUGUGUAUUGAUUCUGUUAAUGAUAACAACUUGGAUAAAGCAUCAUUACGGCAUUUUCGUCUUGGACAUAUAAGCAAGAGGGGUGAAAGUUUGUUGGAUCUAGUACACACGGAUGUGUGUGGGACCUUCAAACAUGCCACAAGGGAUGCUAAUCAUUACUAUUUGACUUUUACUGAUGAUUAUAGUAGAUAUGGAUAUGUCUACUUAAUCAGGCAUAAGUCAGAGACUUUUGAGAGGUUUAAAGAGUUUAAACAGGAAGUCGAGAAUCAAUUGGGCAGGAACAUUAAGAUGCUUCGAUCCGAUCGAGGUUGUGAGUAUCUUAGUUCAGAGUUCCUCGACUAUCUUUGGGAAUGUGGGAUUGUCUCACAAUUGACACCUCCUAGGACACCGCAAUUGAAUGGUGUGGUUGAGAGGCGUAGUCGAACCUUGUUGGACAUGGUUCGUUCCAUGAUGAGUCGAGCUUCGCCACCAAUCUCAUUUUGGGGGUAUGCCUUAGAGACUGCCACCCAUAUCCUUAAUCUGGUCCCUACAAAGAAAGUUGCCAGAACUCCUCAUGAGAUGUGGACUGGUAAAGUACCCAAACUAGACCACAUCAAGAUUUGGGGUUGCGAGGCUUUCGUGAGACGCGAGACUCAUGAUAAGCUCGAACCCCGAAGCGAGAGGUCUAUUUUCAUCGGCUACCCACAACAAUCCUUUGGUUACCUCUUCUACAGACCUAGUGAAAAUGUGGUCUUUGUAGCUAGGAGGGCGUUCUUGAGAGAGAGAGAGAGAGAGAGAGAGAGAGAGAGAGAGAGAGAGAGAGUUCAUAAACCAAGGAAACAAUGGGAGGCAGGUUGACCUUGAAGAAAUUCAAGAGUCAAGCGGUGAAGGAACUUCAAACCCUAGCACUCAACUUGAGGAGGUAACUCCUGUUGAGCCAAUUGUCAAGUCUGUACCUCUGAGGCGUUCCACAAGGGUUAGGAAUGCACCUGAGCAUUACUAUGGAUACCAUAUUACUGCAGAAGGUGAUACACUUAUCAGUGAUGAGACACUGAUAGGUAUGGAUGAACCUAAACAGUUAUGUGGAAGCCAUGGCAGGCCCUGAGUCAGCCAAGUGGAAAGAGGCAAUGGACAGCGAGAUACAGUCCAUGUAUGACAAUCAAGUUUGGAACUUGGUUGAGAAUGUACCAGGUCGUAAGACUAUAGGGUGAAAAUGGAUCUUCAAGAAGAAAACCGACAUGGAUGGUAAUGUACACACUUAUAAGGCACGACUGGUUGCAAAGGGUUUCUCACAAACUCCAGGAGUUGAUUAUGAUGAGACCUUUUCUCCAGUGGCCAAGAUUAAGUCUAUUAGGGUUCUGUUAGCCAUAGCCGCAUUUCAUGACUAUGAAAUAUGGCAAAUGGAUGUCAAAACCGCUUUCCUUAAUGGAAAGUUGGCUGAGGAUGUUUACAUGAGUCAGCCAGAAGGUUUUGUCAGCAACGAGUACCCUAAUAGAGUGUGUAAGCUUGAGAAAUCCAUUUAUGGAUUGAAGCAAGCACCUCGCAGAUGGAAUCUUUGCUUUGAUGAAAAGGUCAAGGAAUUUGGCUUUUCUAGGAGUGAAGAUGAAUCUUGUGUGUAUGUCAAGGCUAGUGGGAGUAUAGUUAGCUUUUUGGUAUUGUAUGUGGAUGACAUACUACUCAUAGGAAACGACAUUCCAACCCUGCAGGAAGUAAAGUCCUGGCUUGGGAAGUGUUUCGCUAUGAAGGACCUUGGUGAAGCUGCCUAUAUUUUAGGGAUAAGAAUCUUGAGAGAUCGGAGUAAAAGACUAAUUGGACUUAGUCAGAGUACCUACUUGGAUAAGGUGCUGAAGAGAUUCAGCAUGCAGGAUUCCAAGAAAGGAGAGUUACCCAUCCAGAGUAACACCAGAUUGAGUAAGACACAAAGCCCUAGCACUGAGGCUGAGAUAGCAGAAAUGAGUCGAACACCUUACGCUUCGGCUGUAGGAUCGAUCAUGUAUGCUAUGACGUGUACUCGACCUGAUGUAGCCUUUGCCUUGAGCAUGGUUAGUAGGUAUCAAGGGAACCCUGGCAAGGCACACUGGACUAUGGUAAAGAAUAUACUCAAGUACCUACAGAGGACUAAGGACUGGGUUCUUACCCUCGAUGGGAGUGAUGACUUGAGAGUUGUAGGGUAUAGUGAUGCUAGCUUCCAGACUGAUAGGGAUAAUUUCCGCUCUCAGUCGGGCUGGGUCUUUACCCUAAACGGAGGAGCAAUUUCUUGGAAGAGUUCCAAGCAAGAGACAGUGGCAGAUUCUACUUGUGAAUCAGAGUAUAUUGCAGCUAGCGAAGCAGCAAAGGAGGCGAUAUGGCUGAAGAACUUCAUUGGAGACCUUGGAGUUGUACCAGCUAUUAAGGAGCCAAUGUAAAUUUUUUGUGAUAGUGAAAGUGUUGUUGCCUUAGCCAAGGAACCCAGGGAUCACAGGAGAUCCAGACACAUCGACAGAAAAUACCAUUUCAUUAGACAUCGAAUAGAAGGACUCCUCGUGGCAAAGAGGGUAUCAUCGGAUGAGAAUCCAGCAGAUCCCCUCACGAAGGGACUGACUCGGGUUAAGCAUCUCCAGCAUGGUCGGAGCAUAGGGCUGAAGGAUGAUAUUAUAUUUAGUAGUUAGAUAACCUUGAAAUUUGUAAAGUGUAAUUGACAUUAGAUGAUGAAUAAAAGGUGUUUUAUUUAUGAGUAAACUAUUGCUAUCUCUUUCGAUCGUUUACUAUAUUUCUUUUGAAUCUUUUGACUUCCACAAUAGUUAUGUUUGGUAUAUCAUAUUAUUUGAACCUCCACAGUCGGUCAUAUGUCAAAAGUAGGUAUGAAUCAAGACUGUCAUGAUUGGUUGCAGAGGUCUAACGUGUGGGACAUGGCUACAACAAUCAUGAGUGCUCAUAAGUUCUGAGCAUUGGACUCAACCCACGCUCACUGGAAUCACUUCAUGGAAUUUAUCUCGAGUGAUUGUGAGACGGUAAUAUCAUAUAAGUCUUCAAAUCUAGAGUUAUGAUUUGUUACUUAUGAGUUGGUUAUGCACUUAUUGUACGAAAAAGCAUUGGAAACUCGAUGUUAUAAAACGUGCUUUUGUGUAUAAUUCAACGAGUAGUAUAACAAACAUAUGGGUCGAAGUUUAUCUGUUCCUUCUUGGAUUAGAAGCUGAUAUCUGGGCCCCUCGAUGAUUUUGUUUUGACCUAUGUACCGGGCCCGGUCAGAACCAAGUUAAUGUGUUCAAUUAAGUUCUUUGUUAAACAAAUCAAAAAUCGGGAAACAAACUACUGGAAAAUAAGUAAGACAUUGUUCCAUGUAUUUCUCUGGCUAAUAUCUAGAACAGAGGAUUAUAUGAUCAUUUAUCUUAAAUGGCAUAAUGCAAUUGUAUUGACUAAAUGAGAGAAAUAACACUUGUGGAUUAUUAAUAUAUUAUAAGUUCUAAUAUAUUAAUAAUAUUAUUUAAUUAGUUUGAUCAAAAAUUAAUUUAGAAUUAAUUAAGUGAUCAAAAGAUAACUAAUUAAAUAUAUGGGUUGAUUAUGUAAAUCAUCCAUAUCUUGUAUAGUGGGCUAAGAGGCUCCAUGGAUUAUCAAGUUGGGUUCCACCCAUAGGAUGCUCCAUGGGAGUUACAAACCGAUGGGUCAUGGAAAUGAAGAGUCAUGACACAUUAGGGUUUACAUGGUGUAACCCUAGAUGUGUCAACACUAUAUAAGCAACCCAUUCUCCACCAAAAUCGGGUACACACAUGAACAAGUGAGGGCUAGGCCGAUUUUUGCAAGUGUAAGAUUCUUUCAAAGUCUACUCCUUUGCAUUUGGUGUUGUGUGAAGCAUUUGAGGCAUCACACUUGGGGUGCUAGGCUCACAAGGUUUCAAGGAUCAUAAGCAACAAUAAGGUAAGUUAUUCUAUCGUCCAUUCAAGUUAAAAAUUGUCCCGUAUUUAUGCUAGAUAGGAAUAUAACCUUGGAAUUCAACUUUGCAUGAUAAUUAGACAAACAUAGAUCCAAGGUUAUUAGGGUUGCAUGUACACUUAGGAAGUGUUAGAAUGCUCAAAACCCAUCACAUAGAUCCAAAAGCUAGAUGCUUAAGCUAUUCUCUUUCAAAGCUCCUUCUUCUUCAAAAGCCAAACAUAACAAUUCAUCACUCCACUAGAUCCACAUGAGAAAGCCACCAAGAUUCAAACUUUAUGCUUUCUAGAACUAGAUCAACCUAAGUAGGGCUUGGAUCCACAAGCUCUAAGCCAAGCAAUGCUUCCUCAAGGGACUCCUUCUUCCACAAUAUGCACCAAAAACUCACUAAAUCACCAAAAUGAUCAAGAAUCACUCAAAUGGAGGCUUGGGGCGAUUUCUAGGGCUUAGAGAGAUCGAGGCUGGAGAUAUUAGGGUUAGGUUAUGAGAUAAGGAGCUUAAAUAGGGUCCAAGACCCUAAAAUAGGGUUCAGGUCAUAUUAGUGUACGCCCAGCAUACUCCGAAGAACAUUCGCGACUACCCCUAGUCAGUACGCCCAACGUGCUUCCUUUUUCACUAGUACGCCCAGCGUACGCUUUGUGUAUGCCCAACGUACGCUUUGUGUACGCCCAACAUACUUGGCUAAGCCUGAAACCACAAAACUUCUGAAGGCCACAACUUCUUCAUUAUAAAUCCGUUCCGACGAUCCUUAUAUCCACAAAAACGUAACGAGAAGCCCGACACUUUUAUCAACUUUAUUCCUCCUGAAGCCCACUCUAACUCAGAUCCAAAUUUCAUGAAAAGUCCGAACCAUCGCUUUUAACAAUACAUUUGGGAUCUAAAGCACAAACCGAACUCUUUUAUCACACAACCUACCUUACCCGCAUCCCAAAAGGGCCUAAACCUUUCUCUUUCAAAGCCUCAAAACCUUCUCAUACUCGGAUUGAGGCCCAUAGGCCUUAAAUCAUAAAACUAUCCAGAACAGGAUGUUACACUGAGCCUCUUAAGAUACCUUUCCAUUGUUUGGGAACAAUGGUGGUAUUCAUUUGCAACAAGUAUUAGUGCUCUGUUCGAGCCUCCAACAUUGUUGCAAACGUUUAAUGAUAAAGCUUGUGCCAUAUUUCCUUCGUUUUGUUUUUUUUAUUAUUUUCAACAAUGAGCUUUAGUGGUAUAGAAGGCUUUUGAAAAUCAGAUUUUGUUUAAAAAGCAACCAUUUUGGCUCUGAUACCAAUUGUUGAGAGAGAAACUUUUGAGAAACACUUGAACAAACGUGAGAACAAGGUAAUAGUUGCGGAAUAAGCUAAUCUCAAAGGAUCAAGUUAGCUCAACAAUAAUAAGUUAGAAGUGUGAGAUGGUUAGUUUCGGAAAUGUAAAGGAAAUAUAAAUGACAACAAGUUAUAUCAAGUAAACAUCAAACUGAUUCAUAACAAGGUUUGUAGUACAAAACGAGUUAGUAAAUAUGAACAGUUUAAGAUGAAGAGGAUCUUAGAUAUUAAAUAAGAUGGAGAUAUGAGAGAAUGAUCUUUGUAUUUCUGUAUUAGCUCAAAAAUCAUGAAAGUAGGGUACUAUUACAUGAAGAAGGGAGUCUCUAUUUAUAGAGUCCCAAAAAGUUACAUCUGAAAUAAACAACUAAUAUUCUCCUGACUUAAGUGACCAUGAAAGGUUCACUGGAUAAAGCUAAGCUAACACGCUAAGUCAGUUAACGUUACUAAAAGUCUUCAUCAUUCUUCACUGCGGUAGUGGUUACAGUUGACUACGGUUCAAAAAAAAACUUCUUCAACUUCGGUAGACAGAUUGUAAUACCCAGUUCCUGGUAAAUAUGUAAAUUCAAGUAUUGUUGUAUUUAACUCUGGGACUCGGUGAGUUGGAGGCCCAACUCGUCGAGUAGACUCGACAUUAUGCGGGGGUUUUAAGUGACCUACACGACGGUCGGGAGAUCGAUUCGAUGAGUAGGAGUUUUCUGGACAAAACCCUAAUGUUUAGGGUUUGCAACCUAUUUAAACACUUUAUCUCGUCCCAAACCAAUCUCCAUCACCCUUCCAACUCAGUGAAACCCUAGACUGAAACGCUGAACCCUUAUUGAGUGUUCUAGAGCCUUUUUGGUGCUUUUGGUGUGUGUUUGAAGUUAGAGAAGAAGAAGAAGAAGAAGAAGAAGAAGAAGAAGGCUUGGAGGUUCAGGUAGAAGCAAGGAGAUCCAGAAGUUUUACUUCAUUUGCAGCUCAUUCAAGGUAAAAAGCUGGAACCUUGACCAUCUAUCUCUUAGAUUUUGAGUUGGGGCUAUUUCUACCCUUUUUAUGAGUUUAGAGAAGCAAAAAUUGGAUUUGUGGGUGUGCUUAGAGUUUCACUUCAGAUCUAAAGCUAUUGGGGGUCUUUAUGGCAUAAAGGUGCCAACUUUGUUGCCAUAAAUACCCCAUGCAUCAUGUAGACCUCCUUUUUGGCUUUUUGAACCAAAGACCCCAUGCAUGUACAUCAAGUUUGUAGCUUUACGUAUGAAAUGGACCCUAGGAGGCCAGAUCUAUGGUUUUGAUAUGUUAAGACCCAUUAUAAUAGAUUGAAUAGUGUUGGACAAAGAAGGACUCGGCGAGUGACUUGGGUGACUCGGCGAUUCGGNNNNNNNNNNNNNNNNNNNNNNNNNNNNNNNNNNNNNNNNNNNNNNNNNNNNNNNNNNNNNNNNNNNNNNNNNNNNNNNNNNNNAGCUAAGGGUGUGUUUUGGACCUGGAAAUCAUAGGACUCGGCGAGUCCAAGGCAAUGUCCCAACCUCAUGAAGACGGACUCAACAAGUUCAUGGAGAACUCGGCGAGUCAGAGGCUAGACUCAUUCAUUCAGAUGAAGAUGAACUCGGUGAGUUCAAGAACGAACUUGGCGAGUCGGUUGAAGAUAGUCAAAAGGUGUUGUUGAAGAUGAGAUCGUCGAGCUCUUGCUAGACUCGACGAGUAAGGACGAGAUUAUAACAGUAGGUGGACAUGGGGACUCGACGAGUUGGUGGAUCAACUCGGCGAGUCGGGUCAAUCAGACAUUGACUUUGACCAAAGUUGACUUUGACCAGGGUUUGACCUUGACUUUAACCGGGAUUGGGUUGACCCUUGUAAGGGGGUUAUGAGUAUGUAUUAGUAAUCGAGAAAGGUUGUUGUGUAGGGAUUGAGGAGUAGAGACGAGUUUAUUCCCAUACCAAGGACAGUGCAGAUACUACACUACAUCGAGGUGAGUUACCUUCUAGUAGAAAUGGGUCUAAGGCCACAAUGUUGGCCCAUCAUCAGGAGUUGCUUGAUAGAUGAUUGUCUUUGUGAUAGUUAUCUAAGUUUGCUAUUAUCUAUUAUGUUGGAUGUGCUAGUGUGAUAUGACGUUACGUGAUAGUGGUAGUAGGGGGAAUAGUCCCCGGUUACCGGUCGAUGGGGCCAAAUGGGGGGNNNNNNNNNNNNNNNNNNNNNNACAGUAUGUUUAUCUUAUGUUAUGUAUAUAUGUGGUGGUGGUGGUAGGGGUGAAAUAGUCCCCAUAACCGGUUGAGAUACACCGGAGGAUAGGUCGGGCCCCCAUAUAUGCCUGACAGGGUAGGUCGGGUACCCAUAUAUGCUUGAUAGGGUAGGUCGGGCACCCAGAUGUGCCUGGCAGUAUGUGAUUUGUAUAGUAUGUGGUAUGAUGGGGGAACUCACUAAGCUUUGUGCUUACAGUUUUUAGUUUUGUUUCAGGUACCUCUUCGAUGAAGGGGAAGGAGCCAGCGCGUUAGCGGUACAACACACACUCAUCAGUUUUCCGACUAAGUUAUAUAAUUAAAAGUGAAAUUUUUGGACUCGAAUUUUGGGAUGUUACAAGUUGGUAUUAGAGCCUUGGUUUGAGGGAUUCGGACACACCUUCGGGGGUUGUUUGGACUCAAAUCAACGGUUUAAAAGGUUUUUCACAAGAAAAAUGUUUUCCAAAAGAUUAAGUAAGAAGUUUUGAGAAAGAACGAGGUGUGUGAUGUAUGUGACCGGCGAGCUCAAGUAAGUUUUCCCCAAGAUACCCAUACAUGUUAUGUUAUAUUAUGGUAUGAUUAUUAGAAUUGCAUGCUAGAUUAGGGCCAAGGAUCUAGGAAGAUGCGUGUUAUGUCCGUUAUAUGUGCUUAUUGAGCUGCAUGAUAGUGCUAAGUAUCGGUGAUAUGAUGACCUGGAUAGGAUAUGUUUGAUUUCCCAAUGCCCGAAUGUUUCCUGCUUCGUGCUACUAGGAGUUCUAGUUACCUUUAAUUAACUAGUAACAAAUACGUUAAGUUACAUAUUAUGAGGACUAAAUAAUUUCAGAAGGUUAGGUCUAGCCCUACUUCGCAGCCCUUGUUUGAGUCCAACCAUUGUAGGGCAGGAUCUCUCAUUCAAAGAAUUAUCUGGUCUCAAUAAUAUGUAAUAGUAUUCGCAAGCUAGUUAGGGAGAGAUAACAUGGACUUCUUAUGCAACUGAUUACGGAGAGUAAGCUGUAGGGUUACCUUAGAGUAAGCCUAGGAUGAGAAUAGUGCAAUGAGCAGUGGUAGUAGGAGUGACUUGGUGAAGUCAAGGCAAUCCUUGAGCAAAGUAUGGAUAGAUGUGGAAGGUAGUAUGGGCCCAUACUACUGAAAGCAGAUGAUCCGUACUCGAGUCAAGGAGGGCCGAGAUAGAACCAAGGAAAUUUUUUAGUAUGUAAGACCUCUCGAGAUUGUGUAUGACCCAGACAUUAUGCAUUUUGUUUCAGAAUGGUGAUGACUACGCGUCACGGAGCAGGAGGAUCGGGAUCAGGAUCUGGCUUGGGAUCAGGUUCGGGAUUAGGUGCCAAGCAAGUUGACGAGGGGCUAUGUGAUUUCAUUUCUUUUGAGAUCACUAGAGGCAUCCUUGAGGCGACCCCGAUUAUCUUUGGGUCGGUCAGGGAAGGGAUCAUAGAGCUAAUGGAGGAUCGCCUUAGGGCAUUCCGAAGCGACAUGGCAUCUGGUCAAUCAGGGUCGCACACACUAUCCUUCAAGGACUUCAGGGGGAGUGGUGUGCAGGAUUUCCACGGGGCGAAGGACUCCAUCAUGGCCAGGAGAUGGAUUACAGACAUCGAGUUUGCACAGUUGACUAGCUUCUGCCCUGAUGGGUCGAAGGUUCGGUUUGCUGCUGGAUGUUUGAGGGAUAGGGCUAGGGAUUGGUGGGAGUCAGUUGGUGACUCUUUGGGAGCCUCGAUCAUCGAGGCUAUGACCUGGGCAGAAUUUGUGACCAGGUUCAGGGUGGAGUUUGUGUCGGCUGUGGAGCUUCAGCAGCUGGCCAGGGAGUUUCACGAUAUGAGGCAGACUACAGAGACGGUGGCGGAGAUUACCGCCAAGUUUUGAGAGAGGUCAUUGUUGGUGCCUCAGUAUGCGGGAGAUGAGGAGAUGCAGAUGACCAACUACCAUGAUAUGUUGAGAGCUGAUAUCAGGGAGCAUGUCAACUACUAAGCGUGCCUGACCCUGGAGUCCAUGAUUUCCAGGGCAAGGGAGAGGGACCUCGAUAUAGUGCACCUAUGGAAGAGGAAGGCAGAGACUGAGCAGGGUACUGGGGUUUCAAGGAUGAAACCCAAGGGAUUUGAUGCUAAGUCGAAGGGCCUUCAGGGUCGGAGCCGUUGUAGGAUGUGUGGCAGGCCACAUGAGGAGGCAUGUAGAUUAGGGUCAUCGGGCUGCUAUAAUUGCGGCAAGACGGGGAACUUUAUUAGGGAUUGUGUCACACCCCAAAACCUGAACGGCGGAAACAUUACGGGGCAGAGGACGUCAUGUACAGUAUCACAACAAUGCAGAAUAGUAAACAAGCAACAACAUCAUCCAUUGCAUUAAUAAUAUAAUUUUAAUACAAGUGUGUUCUAUAUAGUUUAUAAGACACCAAAAAUAUGAAUCAAAAUAAGAGACGAGUCUUGAGAGCGCCGUCUUCUCAAAACCUAGCAUUGGUACCUGUCUACUGAUGACCUAAGAAUACAAGUUAAUUUGAAAGGCUUUAUUAGCUUUAAAGCUGGUGAGUUCAUAAGCAUUUUAGUGUCAUUUUUUGAAUGAAAAUGUUUGUAGUGUUUGAUGUAUAAGUUUGUAAAUGUUUGUAGUAAAUGUUUGUAUCGCCUAGAAAAUCCUAUAUAUUCUACUAAAUAGUAGCCUUCUACCAAUGCAUCAAAUGUUCCGUAUGUUUGUUUCUUGUAAAAGUAUGUAUUUUUCCCAAGUGUGACUAUCAUUAACAAAAUAUAGUUUUUAUAUUACCGUUUAUGUGAGAAGAUCACAAUGUGAAUGCAAUAGGAAAAUAAUAAAGUAGUGUAGUGUUGUAUAUAGUAACUACUGUUGUACUAACUACCUUAAACCGGUUGUUAAUUAAGCUAUAAUGUGAUAUUAUUAUAACCAUACUUGAUCGACUAGUAAAACACGACGCUCGAAGACGUCAAAAUGGUAUGACAUUCGUCACCCGUAGACCUGCAUGUCCCACUGUAGCUAGCAGCAUGGUGUAGGACGGUCAGUCCCGUAUAAAUCUAUACACAAAUUCAUGCUCUCCCUCCAGGAGACUCUGGUUACAAAACGAGCCACAACAGUGAUCCCAUGCCCCGAAGUAGUGGCUCACAUUUAUGUUAUAGUAUUCUUGUAUAUGUAUUGUAUGUACUAGUGUAGUGUAUGUUCUCUCUGUCUAGUAUGUAGUAUGUUCUCUCUGUUUCUCAUGAUAGUAUGUUCUCUCGUAUAGUGUAUUGUAUGUAUUGUUUCUCGUUAUAGUAUUCUCUAUUUGUUGCUCUUUAUAGUGAGUAUUGAUUCUCGUUAUUGUAUGUAUUGACUCAUGUAAGAACUGACUCUAUGUAUGUUUCAUUGUACUAUAAAUAGUGAGUAGUGACUUCCUAUACUAUACCUAUUAUUGUUUACUUGCAGAGUUGUUUGUAUGACUGAGUGUGCAGAACUGAGAUAAAAGCUUUUAUGUCCAUAGAUAUAUACAUAAUAUAUAACUAAGGAUGAAACAACACUCGGACAAACAACAGGGUACUCUAAGUCCACAACCAAACAAGGAAUAAGAAAAUAAAGUGAGUUAUCAGUCCUAAGUGCUUCCAACCUUACUUAUAUAACUAUAUAUGCAUUUGACAUGGUUUUGACAAUAUAUAUAUAAGUUUAAAAGAGGUAAAAGAAACGGUUUGGCAUAUAAGAACAAGUUUGAUAAAGAGUUUAGUAUGUAAAAGAGUUUGAUAAACAUUUGAAGUAUUUGAAAUCCAUAUGUUUGAUAGUUAUUAAUCACAUGUGAUUGAUAUAAUAACUAUAAAGUUUCAACUUGUAUUCCCCCCCCCCCCUAAACGCAUUUAAAAUCAUUUAAUAGAUAAAUUAAGGGGUAUGAACUCACCUAUAGUGAGUAACUCGAAUGUAAGAUCGAUAAGGGUUGCUAAGUGUCAAGUAAAGGCUUGAGCACACACGGAUCCUAUUUAGCAUAUAAUGACACAUAAGUGUGUCUAAUUAGUGAUUAUAACAUCUAAUCAUGAAAUGAAACCACCUUAGGGACUAGGAAGCACUUGUAAUGAAGUGUUACACCACAUAGGGUUGCAUAUAAGGGGUGUAGGGCCUCACAUUGGAGUUUACGGCCCAAAUGGCAUGACCAAGGAAGUUCAUGGCCAUGAGUUUACGGCCACAUGAUUUUACGGCCGUAAACUAAUGAUGAAAAGUGUCAAAUGGUGUUUUAAAGGGAUUUCAAGCAUUGAGGAAGGUUUCUAGGUUCAUGUCCAAGCCUUAGGAGGAGUUUAAGGUCCAAAUGCACUUCAAACUAGGGUUUACAGCCAAUGGAGACGCUCCUCGCCGUAAACACCUCAUGUUCCUGAGAAAAGCUUGUUUUCAAUGCUAGAAUUAAGAGUCUUAACUAGAUAUCAAGUGUAUAAGAGGGUACUUAUGAUUUAGAAUCUUAGAAUAGAUUUCGGCCCAAAGAACUUAUGUGUUCUUGAUGUUCUUGAGGAUCUUGAAGAUCUAGACCCUAAAGAUGGAAUUCAUGGGUGAAUUCAAAGGUGAUUCAAGAAUAAGAGAUGUAUUAACACAUAGAUGGAAGGAAUCACUUACAUUUUGUGGUUUCUGAAGCAAGAUCCUAUGAUACUUAAGAGAGUUUUCGAGUUCCAAGCCUUGGAAAUGGAAAAAGUGAAGAAAAAUGGCCAAGCCUCAUACUUAUACCCUAGAGUUUAUGGCCAUCAUGAGUUUACGGCCGUAAACUCAUGUGUCUUGGUCAUAAACUCAUCAUUGAGGGGUUUAUGGCUUGAUUGUUGGUUUUCAACUUCAGUUGACACAUAAAAACACUUAAUCCCUUGAUAUACUAGGCUUAGAAUGCUCAAAUAGACUCUUAAACAGUGCUAAAAGUCAGUAGAAACAAGUCUGACUUUGAUUGAAUUGAAUGGUUGUACAAGAAAGAAAUUCCGGGUUGUCACAGAUUGUACCGCCCCUGCGCCCACUUUUCAUAGAUUAUGUUCUGAGGUUAUUUGAGGAGCGUUACUUGGUAGACUUGGUUCCCAUCCUGUUGCGUGGGAACAAGGUGAUUAUAUGUAUGGAUUGGUUGAGCCCCAAUGGGGUGGUGAUAGACUGCGUGCAACAAUUAGUGCGAGUCAAGACCCCCGGUAGGGGAGAGCUGGUGAUUCAGGGCGAGAGGCUACAGCGUGGACCGGCAUUAUGUUCAGCAGCAAGGGCUAGGCGCUACCUUCAGCAGGGUUGUGCUGGGUAUAUCGCCUAUUUAAUGGAUACCCGGGAGGCGGGCAAGGCGUCGAUGAGUGAUGUACCUGUGGUGCGAGAUUACACAGAUUUAUUCCCGAAGGAGCUGCACGGGAUACCCGCAGAGCGACAGGUGGAGUUCUGGAUCGACCUAGUCCCUGGUGCGGCUCCGAUAGCCAACGCACUGUAUCGGUUGGCUCCUCCCGAGAUGUAGGAGUUGUCUAUGCAGUUGCAGGAGCUGCUAGACAAGGGUUUAACAGACCGAGUAGUUCACCCUAGGGAGCCCCGAUACUGUUUGUGAAGAAGAAGGAUGGGUCGCAUCGGAUGUGUAUAGAUUACCGAGAGCUGAACAAGGUAACAGUGAAGAACCGUUACCCACUCCCGAGGAUAGAUGGCUUUUUUGAUCAGCUUCAUGGAGCAUCAUGGUUCUCCAAGAUUGAUCUAUGGUCAGGGUACCACCAGAUGAUGGUUAGAGAGGAGGACGUACAUAAGACUGCUUUUCGGAUUCGGUAUGUCACACCUCCAAACCUGAACGGCGGAAACGUUCGGGGGCGGAUGACUUCAUGUGGUAACGUAACAAAUGAAUACAUAGUAAAGAAAGCAAUACAACCAUCAUAUAUAUAAUUGAAAGUUUACAUUUGUCAAAAGUUACAUGUUCAAAACCAAUUACAAUAUGAUGUCAAAAUACGAGAUUAAACUGGUGCCGCAGCAUCCCUUCAUCAAAAGCAAAAUGAAUACCUGAAAUUUACUGAUUUCCUGGGACAUACAAGUAAAUUUUGAAAGAGUAGAUCAGCAUUUAAGCUGGUGAGUUUCAUAAGUAUUUAAAUGACAAUGUUUGAAUGAAUUCAAAUGUUUUGUCUUUGUUUGUUUGUGUUUAGAAAAUCCUAUAUUUUCUACUAGUAUAAUAGUAGCCUUCACUCAAGACCAAUGUUUGUUUGAAAUGAAAUGUUUUGUCUUUGUUUGUUUGUGUUUAGAAAAUCUUAUAUUUUCUACUAAUAUAAUAGUAGCCUUCACUCAAGACCAAUGUUUGUUUCUAAAAUGUAUGUAAGUGUAAAAUAACCAAUGAGUUUGAAAACCUUGUAAAUCAAUGCAUUUUUAAUACCCCUUGUGAGUUUUAUAACCAUACUAUUGACUCGGAAUGCCUAUACACAACGUUCUUCAGGCGUUGGAAUGUUAUGACGUUUGUCACCCCAAACGGUGGACUGCAGCUAACAGUCAGGGCGCGGGUUGUCAAGCCCGUAUAGAUCUAUACACAAACACCAUGCUCCCCCUCCAAGGGAUUCUGGUAUAUAAUACAGGACUUGAAAUGUGUACUCGAACGUACAUGAAGUUAGUGUCUCACAAAACCGUGGUAUAAAAACAGAUCUACUUGUUAAAAUGUUACGUUUGUUCUUGUAUACGAAAGUAAACUUCUUGAAAUUCAUGUUUCUAGUACAUAAGAGUUAGAAAUUUGUUCGUAAAACUAUACCUAUUAUAGUUUUCUAAAAGUGUGUCUUGUUUGUUUAGAAAUACCUAGAAAAGAAAUCACUUGUUUAUGAAAGCAUAGAUUUUUGGUGUAGAGUCUAAGAUAGACAAGAAUAAUCUAAGAAAAGUUUAGUUUAUACAUGCAUUACAACAAUGUAUAUUUCAAAAGAUAGAAUGCUAUUUUAACAUAUUUUAUAUAUAUGAAAGUUCCUUAUAAAGUUUGUAAAUCGCAUGUGAUUUGGAUAUAUAAAAGCAUAUAAAAGAGUUUCUUUAUGUAACACACGAUAAUACUCGUGUGUUUUACUUGUAAUCCCCCCCUUGAAAGCAUAUAAAAGAAUUUAUAAAAUAUUUAAAAGGUAAAUUAAGGGGUAUGAACUCACUUGAAAGUUUGAAGAUAGCGAGAUGGAAAACCGGGCAGAGUUUCGUCUCGGGAAACGGAUUUUCCUCGGGAUUCUCGGGAAUCUCGGGAGUAAAAUCGACCCUCGGGACUUGAGCAAAAAGACCAGAGCUUCGGGUUUGAACGGGCACGGAAAACGAGGCAAGAUUGUGAGAGAGAGGAGAGAAAUGAGCCCUUUUCUCGGAAGCCCUCGCAUCCUAUUUAUAGGAAGGCUGGACUGCCUCGGUACGCGGGGCGUACGCUCGUACGCAGCGCGUACGCGUACGUCAUGCAUGACCGAAGCCUCGACUGCCUCGGCUUCGGAUGGGACGGGUUGCUGGGGAGGCGGGUCGGAUGGGACGGCGGGUCGGACGGGACAGCGGGUCGGACGGGUCGGACGCUUCGGACGGGUCGGACGGGUCGGACACCUCGGAUAACGCGACGUGGACGAUCAGAGGCCAAGUCUCUCGGGUACGCAGGGCGUACAGGGGUACGCAGCGCGUACCCGGAUGAGGACGCUGACUCCUCUUCGGAUAAGGUCCGAAUUUUGAAUUAAAUAAAUAUAUAAUUUAUUUAAUAAACUUCAAAAAUUCAUAUCUUCUUCAUACGAACUCCGUUUUCGAUGGUCUUUAUAUCCACGCGUAGGUGAGACUACGCUCUACAACUUUCGUUUAGACUCCGUCGGCAAAUUCCGAAAUUAUUUUUUUAUUAUUUAUUUUAAACUCAUCGUGUUUAAGGAAUUUCUUUGAAAAUUCAUAACUUCUUUAUCUGAUGUCGGUUUUUGCCAGACUUUUUACCGCUGGAAUACCAUUGUCGAGACCUUCGAUUCUCGUUUAGGUCAUUCCGGCCAAAAGUCGCUCGAUCUCCGAUUCGAGUUUUUAGCUGUCUGUUGCUAAGCCGAACUUGGAAAAAUCAUAACUUCGCUAUAUGAAGUCGGAUUUGGGCGUUCUUUUCACGUACGAUCAUGGUUCAAAGACAUUUAAACAUAGAAGGAAAUUAAAUAGAACUAUUUGUACAUUUUAUUAUGAAAGUAAAUUUUAUUACUCAAAAGUGGUUACAAUACUUGACCCUUUUUGGUCAUUACAAAUAGUUGAAAUAUCGGGUUGUCACACGGUAUGGCCUUUACGAGUUCGUGCUGAUGCCUUUCGGGCUCACCAAUGCUCCUGUCGCGUUCAUGGACCUCAUGAACCGCGUGUGCAGACCGAUGUUGAAUCGGUCUGUGAUAGUUUUCAUUGAUGACAUCUUGGUUUAUUCUAGGACAUAGGAGCAUCAUGAGGAGCACUUGCAGGAGGUGUUAGAUAUCCUGAGGAGGGAGAGCUUGUAUGCCAAGUUCUCCAAGUGUGAGUUCUGGUUGCGUGAUGUGUAGUUUCUUGGGCGUCUUGUCAACCAAAACGGGAUUUUGGUUGACCCGGCCAAGGUGGAGGCCGUGAUGAGAUGGGAGGUUCCGUUGGAUAUUAUGUUGUGGAAAUGGGAAGAUAUCACUAUGGAUUUCAUCGCAAAGCUUCCCAGGACUGCACGGGGAGUAGAUUCGAUUUGGGGUCAUCGUGGAUCGGUUGACCAAGAGUGCCCAUUUCAUACCGAUCCAGAAGAGCAUCUCGGCCGAGAAGUUGGCCGAUAUCUAUAUACGAGAGGUAGUAGCUCGGCAUGGAGUGCCAGUUUCAGUGAUUUCGGACCGAGACGUGCGAUUUACUUCGAGAUUCUGGAAGAAGUUUCAUGAUGAGUUGGGUACUCGUCUGCAAUUCAACACUGCUUUUCACCCACAGACGGACAGUCACUGUGAUUGGACCAUCUAGACUCUGGAGGAUAUGUUGUGGGCGUGUGUUUUAGACUUCGGGGGUAGUUGGGAUACUUACCUUCCUUUGGCUGAGUUUUCCUAUAGUAACAGCUAAGUAUUGACCGUCCUCCCUUCGAGAUGUUGUACAGGAGGAAGUGCAGGACCCCGAUAUGCUAGGGUAGGAUGGCCAGAGGGUCAUGGGGAGUACCGAAGUGGUACUUAAAACGACGGAGAGGAUCCAGCAGGUGCGCAGUAGACUUCAGACUACUCAGAGUUGGCAGAAAAGUUAUGCCGACAGGCGUCGUAUGGACCUGGAGUUCCAGGUCGGGGAUAUGGUGCUCCUGAAGGUGUCGCCUAGGAAAGGCAUCAUACGGUUCAGGAAGCGGGGCAAGUUGGGCCCCAGGUACAUUAGACCUUUCAGGUUGUAGCCCAGGUGGGCAAGGUGGCAUAUAGGUUGAACCUGCCAGCUGAACUCAGCCAGAUUCAAAGUACUUUUCACGUCUCCCAUUUGUGGAAGUGUCUGGUGGACGAUUCAGCAGUGGUGCCUUUGGAGGAUAUUCAGGUGGAUGACAGCCUGAACUACAUCGAGCAACCAGUAGCUAUCCUCGACAGGAAGUCGAAGGAUCUAGGAAACAAGAGGGUGGAACUAGUGAAGGUGCAAUGGUAGCACCACAAGGGCUCAGAAUGGACUUGGGAGCCGGAGGACGAGAUGAGAGAGCACUACCCCAAGCUUUUUCUAGAUUCAGCAGCAGACUUCAAGGAUGAAGUCUAAAAUAAGUGGGGAGAUUUGUAACACCCGGUUCCUGGUACGUAUGUAAAUUCAAUUAUUGUUCUAUUUUACUCUAGGACUCGGCGAGUUGGAGGCCCAACUCGUCAAGUAGACUCGACAUUAUGCGGGGAUUUUAAGUGACCUACUCGGCGAGUCGGGAGACCAACUCGACGAGUAGGAGCUUUCUGGACAAAACCCAAAUAUUUAGGGUUUACACCCUAUUUAAACACUUUAUCUCGUCGUAAACCAGCCUCCAUCACCCUUCUAACUCAGAGAAACCCUAGACAAAAAGCCUAAACCCUUAUUGAGUGUUCUUAAGCCUUUUUGGUGAUUUUGGUUUGUGUUUGAAGUUAGAGAAGAAGAAGAAGGCUUGGAGGUUCAAGUAAAAGCAAGGAGAUCCAGAAGUUUUACUUCAUUUGCAGCUCAUUCAAGGUAAAAAGUUGGAACCUUGACCAUCUAUCCCUUAUAUUUUAAGUUGGGGCUAUUUCUAACCUUUUUAUGAGUUUAGAGAAGCAAAAAGCGGAUUUUGUUGGUGUACUUAGAGUUGCACUUCGGAUCUGAGGCUAUUAGGGGUCUUUAUGGCAUAAAGGUGCCAACUUUGUUGCCAUAAACACUCCAUUCAUCUUGUAUACAUCCUUUUAUGGCUUUUUGAGCCAAAGACCCCAUGCAUGUAGAUCAAGUUUGUAGCUUUACGUAUGAAAUGGACCCUAGGUGACCAAAUCUAUGGUUUUGAUGUGUUAAGACCCAUUAUAAUCGACUGAAUAGUUUUGGACAAAGAACGACUCAACGAGUCACUUAGGUGACUCGGUGAGUCGGGUCGCUUUUUCCCCCAAAAACGCCUUCCGGAAAUGGUUUUGGUUGAGUGGCAGGAACACUCAGCCUGUUAGGGGUUUGUUUUGGACCUGGAAAUCAUAGGAAUCGGGGAGUGUACGAAUAGACUCAGCGGGUCCAAGGCAAUGUCCCAACCUCAUGAAGAUUGACUCUACGAGUUCAUGGAGAACUCGGCAAGUCAUAGGUUAGACUCAUUCAUUCGGAUGAAGAUGAACUUGGCGAGUUCAAGAAAGAACUCGGCGAGUCGGUUGAAGAUAGUCAAAAGGUGUUCUUGAAGAUGAACUCGUCGAGCUCUUGCUAGACUCGGCGAGUAAGGGCGAGAUUAUAGCAGUAGGUGGACAUGGGGACUCGACGAGUUGGUGGAUCAACUCGUCGAGUCGGGUCAAUCAGACGUUGACUUUGAGUAAGGUUUGACCUUGACUUUAACUGGGAUUGGGUUGACCCUUGUAAGGGAUUAUGAGUAUGUAUUAGUAAUCGAGAAAGGUUGUUGUAUAGGGAUUGAAGAGUAGAGACGAGUUGAUUCCCGUACCAAGGACGGUGCAAGUACUACACUACAUCAAGGUGAGUUACCUUCCAGUAGAAAUGGGUCUAAGGCCACAAUGUCGGCCCAUCAUUAGGAGCUUCUUAAUAGAUGAUUGUCUUUGUGAUAGUUAUCUAAGUUUGCUAUUAUCUGUUAUGUUUUAUGUGCUAGCAUUAUAUGACGUUACAUGAUAGUGGUAGUAGGGGGAAUAGUCCCCGGUUACCGGUCGAUAGGGACAAUGUUGGGUCAAAAAUAUGGUUUAUACUUUGCUUUUCUUGGAAAAUAUAUUUUUCUGUAAUUUUGUGGCUGUGUACGGCUGCACAUGUGUGUGCGGUCGCACACCCUGUGUACGAUCGCACACGCGUGUGCAGCUGUACACUCGUGUGUUGCUGGUGGCCCAUAUCUUAUAUAUACAGGGUNUAUAUAUAUAUAUAGGGUGAGGAGUGUACGGCUUGAAGAGAGAGAAAGGAGAGCAUAUUGUAGAGAGAGAAAGUUAGAGAGAAGAAUAGUGUGUGUGAGAGAAUCUAUUGUAAGGAGCAUCAUUCAUAUUAUUGAAUACAUCAUUAGAUUCAUCUUAAUUCUUCUUCUUCUUCUCUUCUAUUUGAUCUUACAUCAUCCAAUUGAUUGGGAUUCCGCACCAUCAAUUGGAUCUGAUUGAUACACAAGUAGAUCAGGGACUUACAGCCAAAGCAGGGGGGGGUAGCCUAGUACCCAACUAUGCUAGACAGUAUGUUUAUGUUAUUUUAUGUAUUUAUGUGGUAGUGGUAGGAGGUGAAAUAGUCCCCAUAACCGGUUGAGAUACACCGGAGGGUAGGUCGGCACCUAGAUAUGUCUGACAUGCUAGGUCGGGCACCCAGAUAUGCCUGACAGGGUAGGUUGGGCACCCAGAUAUGCCUGGCAGUAUGUGAUUUGUAUAGUAUGUGGUAUGAUGGGGGAACUCACUAAGCUUUUGUGCUUACAGUUUUUAGUUUUGUUUCAAGUACCUCUUCAGUGAAGGGGAAGGAGUCAGCGCGGUAGCUGUACAUGACACACUCAUCAGCUUUCCGCAUUUUGUGACCCAUGGGAUUGUAUUCUGAAUUUUACUACUACUUGAUGAUACGAUUUUGAGACAUGAUUGCUAUAAUGUUAUGGAUUGUUAUAUUAUCGACUAUGUUUUGUUAAAUAAUUUUCUAAGUUAUAUAAUUAAAAAUGAAAAUUUUGGACUCGAAUUUUGGGAUGUUACACUAACUUCAGUUAUGGUUGCAUCUCCAAUUGUGGUAGACAAAAACAAGAUUGCGAAUCAUUAAGUUAAAGAGGGUCACUUUUUGUAUCAACAUAAUUCAUAAAAAAAACUCGAUGUCAAACUAAAAGUUAAAAUUUUAUGAUAAUAUAAUAACUUUUUUUCUUGCAAUAUGUUCUUAAGGUUAUCAUAAAAGAUAGAAUCAAAAGUAUGUCCUUAAGGUUAGACAAAAUUGCAUAAAAUAGUCUUUGUGGUAGGCAAAAUUAUGUGGUAUUGGUUCAAAAAGUUUUGGUGGUGCAUAUGUUGUCCAAUUUUGGAUACCUUAUGCGGUUUUCAUUCCUAUGAUUGAUAAUUUUGUGUGUUUUUAGUCCAGAACCAAUCUAAAAUGACCAAUAUACUUAGAUAAUUCUUUUUUAUUUUCUUUUAAUUAAUUUCUUAUUAUUUUAAUUAAAAAAAUAAAUACAUUUCUCUCUCUCUCUCUUAACUUUAGUUAACAAUAUCCUUGUAACAACCCACAUUUAAAUGAAACUCAAACUAAUCGAAACAAGCAAAGCAAAUUGAUGAACCCACUAACCAAAGCACGUAAACAACUAGCAAUUAACACACAAUAACACAACCACAUUGGAACGAGAGAAUACCAAAUAACAUUGAAACAAAAGUGUAAAACUGAUAUGAACAAAAAUCAAAUUCUAAGUGAGCUUAUUGUGACUGAGUGAUGGAUGGGUGUUACAUGCAUGAAGGAGUAUAUGACUAUUGCCCGCCUGUAACCCGGACUGGAAAGAGAAAGAGAUGGUGCGAUUGUGAACUAUAACAUCCUGUUUCAAGAAGUUUCAUAUUUCGGGAUUUUGACAAUAAAUGGAUCAAGUAAAGGCCUUGGACUUCAAGUGAAUAAGGUUUAGACACUACUAGAUGUUGAUAAUAAUGGUUAUACGAUCCAAGCCCUUGGUUUGUGUUUUGGAGUCAAAGGGUAAAAUGGGAAAAGUGAUGUUUAACAGCCCAAAAACCGGAUAGAAACCUUUCAUUUCAAUUAAGAAUUACAACCAUAAUUUGUUUCUAAAAUCCACUACAAAACAAAUAUGUCAAAUUAUCAGAGUAACAACAUCAGUAAGUGUGAAAAUAGUGGAGAGUGAAUGAUGCGCCAUCAAGUCAGGCCCUUCCCUUUUGUACAAGAAGUAUCUGAAACCACAAUACAAAUUGUAAGCAGAAGCUUAAUGAGUGUUCCCAAAAUAUCACAUAACAUACAAACAACUGACAUGGGCUACUCCCAUGGUUUUUUCCCUUAAAUUCCAUGGGAUACCCCAAUGGUUUGAUAUCCAGGUUCCAUGGGCUACCCCCUAUGGUCUUUCAUGCCAUGGGCUACCCCCAUGGUCUUCCAUACAAGUGCCACGUGCUACCCUUGAGGUCUUUCAAAAAAGCAACCACAUAGACAACAAUAAUUCCACAUGAUAAGUAAUAGGAUAACAUUGGUGCCUUCGACCCAUGGAUAUAGUGAGAAGACUCACCUCAACUACUAAAAUCCUAAACAAAUACUUUGGUUGCUAAGCUGAAUAAAAUCCCAUGCUAACUAGACAAAUAGGUCCCAAACAAUAAGGUCAAAAUCCGAACUAAUACUUUCAAAUAAAAAUAAUGCCUGAGAUGAGAUAGGUCAAACUAGUCCCAAAUCCCAUAAAUAUCUAAAGUCCAAUCCGUUGGAUUAGUUAAGGCCCAGGAUGGCCCAACAGCUGGAAAGGCCCUACGGAAAAAUACCCAAGGCUCAAACCAAUUAACCAAGCCCAUCAACCUAGCCCAAAAUGCAAUUACUCCAUAUAUGGGUCAUACGCUCAGCAUACACAGUGGUACGCAUAGUGUAGCAAGUCGAAGCGGGAAAAUGUUGUUGGAUUUGGUGUCUAAGCCCAUAACUAUAACUAGGAUGUACUUGACCCGAUUGUAGCAUGGUCCUUUUGGGUUGCCUUCACCAGUGCAAUUUGAUAGGAAGGACUUUUGAGAAUAAGGUUAUUUAUGCUUUAUUAAUAUAUUACAAGUAUAAUAUAUUAAUAUGAAAUCAUAUUAUUUAAUUAGUAUUGAUCAAGAAUUAAUUUGGAAUUAAUUUUGUGAUCUAAAGAGACUAAUUAAAUAUAUGGGGAUUGAUUUUGUAAAUCAAUGAUCCUUAUAGUGUGGGCUAAUGAUCCAUGGUUAUUUAGGAUGGGCUAAACCAAUGAGAUAAUCCAUGGAUAGUCCAUGGAGGUGAACCCAUGGAGCCUAAGUAAUAUGAAAGGUCAUUAGGGUUUACAAGGUGUAACCUUAGCAUUUGCUACACUAUAAAUAAACCCCCUAGAGCCAAAUACGGUUGCCACAACAUUCUUGGAGAGUGUGUAUUGAUUUUGUGUUGAGUAACUUAUUCUCUCAAGCCUCCUCUUGCAUAUUGGUGUUUGUGAACCAUUAGAGUAAUCACACUUGAGGUGCUCAAGCUUUCAAAGGUCAAGAACUACAACUCCUUCUAAGAGGUAAGUUAUCUACCUGGUUGUACUGAUCAAUUGUCAAUUUGUAUGCUAGUUAGCAUGUAUGCUUUGGAAAAAGAAAAUAUGGAUGUAUAAUUAGAGAAAAUGUAGAUCCAAAGCAUUUAGGGUUGUAUGUGCACCAUAGGAAUGUUAUAGUGCUCAAAACCCAUCAGUGGUAUCAGAGGCUAGGAUUGUUUUCUUUUAUACUUGAUGCUUGUUAGUUUUCAAAGUUGAAAAAAUCAAAUUUUUGGCCUCUGACUGAUGAACUCGUCGAGUCCACUGGCUGACUCGACGAGUCCACUCAGUAACAAGCGCAACUCAACGUGUCAAUUCAUGCACUCGUCGAGUCCAUGGCUCUGGUGGCAAAAUUUCGAGUUUUCUUGGCCUAGAUUGGGUUGGAAUCACUACUACAAAUUGUUUUACAUCAUUAAAUUUGUUUUUAUGAUAUGAUAGUGAUUAUGCUCAUCCAAUCACAAGAUAAUUGUCAAAGUUUUAAGAUAAUUGUUGAUUUAUAUGAUAAAAAAAAGUUUCUUGCAAAUUAUUGACUUGAUAUUAUCUUGUUUAGGAGUUUAGUUAUUUCAAUCUUGAAUUAUAUGAUAAUUUUAGUUGUUGAAAAUUGAUCUAAAUGAAUUUUAAUGACCUCCAUAACUUGUCCUCAAGUUAUGGAAAAUGAAAAGUCUCAUCUUUAAAAAUGCAUUAAACUCAUAAGUUACGAAUUCCAAGAGUAAUCAAAAGAUAGUUGUCAAAAUUCUUAUGAUAGUUGUUAGUUUAUAUGUUAAGCCAAUUACUUGUAUCAUUUGAUUUGAAACUAUUUUGCCUUAUGAGUUAGUUUAGAUCAAGAUUAAAGAAAUUAUAUGGUAAUUUUUCUUGUUAUAAUUGAUCUAAAUGUUCUUUAAUGGGUUCCAUAACCUGUCCUCAAGUUAUGGAACAUGAAACGUCUUAUCAUAAAUGUUUUAAUGAACUCCAUAAUUUGUCCUCAAAUUAUACAAAAUCAAGAGUCUUUUCAUAAAAACAACAUUAAACUCAUAAGUUAUAGAAUUGAAGAGUUUUGACAAGUUUCAAAACUUGCCCUCAAGUUUUGGAAUUUGUAAAGUCUCACUAAUAAAACUUUAAUUCCAAACUCUAGAGUUUUAAAAGUUAAAAUUCAACCUUUAUAUUAAAAGUUGUUAUUAUUAUUAUUAUUAUUAUAUANNNNNNNNNUAUAUAUAUAUAUAUAUAUAUACAUAUAUAUAUAUAUAUAAGACAAGUCAGUCUUACCCUUAGUAUGCCUCAUUCACGAAGUCGGUCUAUAAGGGGGGAGGGGGUAUAAGGUUACUGCCUGUGACAACCCGAAACUUCUAGCUUGUUUAAACAUUCAAAUUUAUCAGUGUUAGACUCGUUUUGCUUCCAUUUAUCACUGGUUAGGAUCUAUUGUGAGUGUUCUAACUCUAGUGCAUCAAAGGAAUCAGUAUUUGGAAGUGUCAGUUUAAGUUCUAAACUACCUAGCAACUGUAAACCUCCUCAAAAAGGAGUUUACGGUCGAGCCCUUGAGUUUAUCGUCAAUGUGGCCGUAAAUUCCAUGCUAUAUAUACAAACCUUGGCCAUUUUCAAUCACUUUUUACCACUUCCAAGCCUAGAACUCGAUUUCUCUCCCAAGGAUCUUAAGGUUUUGCUUCCAAACUUCAAUAAUAUAAGUGAUUCCUUCCCUUUUGGAGUUAAUACAUCUCUUCUUCUUGAUUCACUCUUGAAUUCAUCCACAAAUCUCAUCAUUUGAGUCUAGAUCUUCAAGAUCCUCAAGAACAUCAAGAACACUUUAGUGUUUUGGGCCGAAAACACCCUUCUUUGCUUCCAAAUUGUAAGUAUCUAUCUUUUAUACUUGUUAUCUAAUUAGGAUACUUGAUUAAGGCCUUGAAAACCAUCACUUUUCCAUGAAAAAAAGGUGUUUACGGUCUAGUGUAUCUCCUUAGACUGUAAACCCUAUGAUCGUAAGGUCAUUAGACCGUAAACACAUGAGAGCUCAUGAUUGAAGAAUACUGCCCGAGGGACGAAAUCCAGAAACUAGAACAAGAACUAUGGAGCCUAACCAUGAAGGGCUCUGACAUGGUUUCCUAUACCGCCAGAUUCGGCGAGUUGGUGGCCCUAAGUCCCAACAUGGUUCACACGGAGGGAAAGAAAAUAGAGAGGUACAUCUGGGGACUGGUGCCUCCAUUCCAAGGGAAUGUCUUGGCUUCAAACCCCACUACAUUUGAUAGUGCCAAGCGAUUGGCACAACGACUCAUUGACCAUGGGGUCCCUACCCCGUCAAUAACAACAACCCUAGCCAUCUCAAAACCCUCCAAAAACGUUGAUAACAAGCGGAAGUUCUGGGAUGACAAGAAGAAAAAGAUCGCUGCACAAAAAGAUGCCAAAAAGUAGUAGGUCGUGGCGGCUCAUGCUGCGAUAGCACCUGCCGCUGCUGCUCUGAUAAGCAGUACACGGGGAGUUUGCCGAAGUGCAAAAAAUGCAGCUUCCACCACACUUGAGCCUGACGGGAAAUGCAGUGUUCUAACUGCAACAGGAAGGGGCACACUGCCCGUUUCUGCAAAUCCCCAGCAAGGCCAAUCAACCAAGUCCCCGGCGCUGGUGUGGGCCAGGCUUGCUACGGUUAUGGCGAAGUGGGCCACUAGAAAAGGAACUACCCGAAGGCAAGGAAUGUUGGUGGAUUAGGAAGAGUUCUUUCUAUAGGCCACGAGGAAGCAGUUGUCGACCCCACAGUGGUCAUUGGUACGUUUCUACUCGAUAACUCUUAUGCAUGCAUUCUGUUUCACAGUGGAGCGGAGAGGAGUUUCGUGAACCAAAAGUUUGCUCACUUACUUAAACAAAAAUCACGAACACUUAAAGAACUGUUCACUGUAGAAAUGGCUAAUGGGAAGACUGAGAGCACUAGCAGUAUAUACAUAGGAUGUACUCUAACUCUAGAUAGCCAUUCAUUUUCAAUCGACCUCAUGUCAGUCUUAAUUAAAAGUUUCGAUGUCAUUAUCAGCAUGGAUUGGUUGAGUCUACAUCGUGUCGACAUCAUGUGUUAUGAAAAGGUUGUUCACCUUAAUCUGCCGUCUGGAGAAACUCUAGUAGUCUAUGGCGACAAACUCGGCAUGAACCUUCGUGUCAUCUCGAGUAUUCAAGCCCAGAAGUACUUGAGAAAGGAAUGUCGCACAUUCCUUGCUCAUGUUGUUGAUGUGAGCCAAGAGAUGAAGGACAUUAAGAACAUCCAAGUAGUACGCGAUUUUCCCGACAUCUUUCCAGAAGAACUUCCAGGAUUACCUCCACAACGUCAAGUCGAGUUNUUACCACAACGUCAAGUCGAGUUCAGAAUCGACUUAGUUCCAGGGGCUAUCCCAGUAGCCAAAUCGCCCUAUCGUCUAGCAACUGCAGAGAUGCAAGAACUGUCCGGUCAAUUUAACGAACUACUCAGCAAGGGCUUUAUAAAACCAAGCUUCUCACCCUGUAGAGCUCCGGUCUUGUUCGUCAAAAAGAAAGACGGAUCGUUUCGUAUGUGCAUCGACUACAGGGAACUCAACAAGCUUACCAUUAAGAGUCGUUACCCUCUGCCUUGCAUAAAUGAUUUGUUCGACCAAUUGCAAGGGGCGAAUUUAUUUUCAAAGAUAGAUCUGAGAUCCGGGUAUCACCAGUUACGAGUGCUAGAGGAGGAUGUUCCAAAGAACGCCUUCCAAACUCGUUAUGGACACUACGAGUUUGUAGUGAUGCCAUUCGGAUUGACCAAUGCACCCGCAGUAUUCAUGGACUUAAUGAAUCGGGUAUGUCGUCCUUACUUGGAUCAGUUCGUCAUUGCCUUCAUUGAUGACAUACUUAUCUACUCUCGUAGUAAGGAAGAGCAUAUUAAGCAUCUAUGUCAGAUCUUGGAAACAUUACGAUCAGAGAAGCUCUACACAAAGUUCUCUAAAUGCGAGUUUUAGAUCCGAAGAGUCGAAUUUUUGGGUCAUGUUGUUAGUGAAGAAGGAAUUUAUGUGGACCCUUCCAAAAUGAAAGCUAUUGAGAACUGGUCAGCACCGAAUACGCCUAUAGAAAUUCGUCAAAUUCUAGGCCUCACUGGCUACUAUCGUAGGUUCAUUCAGAACUUCUCUCGAAUUGCGAAACCUCUUACGACUUUGACCCAGAAGGGCAUGGCCUUUUAUUGGUAAGAAAAGCAAGAGAAAGUGUUCCAUAUGCGGAAACGAGCCUUAUGCACCCCAGUGAUACUAUCCCUCCCAAAAGGAAUAUAAGACUUCGUGGUCCACUACGAUGCAUUCAAUUAAGGGCUUGGUUGUGUUCUGAUGCAACGAGGUAAGGUCAUUGCCUACGCCUCAAGACAGCUGAGGACACACGAGGUUAACUACACCACGCAUGAUCUUGAGUUAGGAGCAGUUGUGUUUGCUCUGAAGAUCUAGAGACACUACCUAUGCUGUAGGAAGAGCACUAUCUUUACAGACCACAAAAGCCUACACCAUAUAUUCGACUAGAAGGAGCUCAACAUGAGACAAGGACGGUGGGUCGAGCUACUCAGUGAUUACGAAUGCCAAAUUCGUUAUCAUCCCGGCAAGGCCAACGUAGUAGCUGACGCCCUAUGUCGGAAAGAAUACUUUAGUCGUAGAGUCAAAUCAUUGACUAUGAAUAUCCAUUCACACUUGUCCACACAAAUUAAGGAGGCUCAGCUCGACGCUUUGAAACCUGAAAAUGUGGCGAGUGAAUCCCUGAGAGGGAUGGAUAAGAACUUGGAAGUCAAGGGUGGCGAAGCCUUAUAUUUCAUGGAUCGGACCUGGACACCGAAACACGAUGCCUUCAGAGACUUGGUCAUGACCAAAGCCCACAACACUCGAUAUUCCGUCCACCCAGGUUCGGAUAAGAUGUAUCUGGAUCUUAAAAAGUUACACUGGUGGCCUAACAUGAAAGCAAAGAUUGCUACCUUCGUAAGUAAAUGUCUUACUUGCGCCAAGGUCAUGGUCGAAUACCAAAAACCCUCAGGUUUACUACAGCAAUCAUAGAUACUGGAAUGGAAAUGGGAGUGAAUCACAAUGGACUUCAUAACCAAGUUGCCCAAGACUAGGGGUGGUCUCGUUACCAUUUGGGUGAUCGUAGAUAGGUUAACAAAGUCCGCACACUUCCUGCCCAUCAAAGAGACUGACAAGAUGGAGAAGCUCACAAGAACAUACAUCAGGGAGAUCCUACGACUGCAUGGUCUUCCUACAUCAAUUAUCUCCAAUAGAGAUAGUAGAUUCACUUCGAGGUUCUGGCAGUCUCUACAAAGUUCCCUUGGAACGAGGUUGAUCAUGAGUACAACCAUUUAUCCACAGACCGACGGACAAAGUGAGAGAACUAUCUAAACCUUGGAAGAUAUGUUGCAAGCCUGUGUGAUCGACUUUGCGAAGACAUGGGAUACUCAUUUACCCCUUGUCAAGUUUUCCUACAACAACAGUUAUCACACGAGCAUAAAGGUUGCUCCAUUUGAAGCCCUUUAUGGCCGAAAGUGCAGAUCCCCUCUGUGCUGGGCUGAGGUGGGUGACACCCAGUUAGCUAAAGGAUGAGUUCCUGACAACACUCUCAUAGGUCUGGAGAUCAUUCGGGAAAUGACAGAGAAGAUCGUUCAGAUUCACGAACGAUUGAAAGCCUCUAGGGACCGACAGAAAAGUUAUGCUGACAAGAGAAGGAAUCCUUUGGAAUUCCAGGUGGGAGACCGCGUUCUUUCGAAAGUCUCACCCUGGAAGGGUUUGACACGCUUCAGAAAGCGUGGGAAUCUCAAUCCAAGAUACGUAGGGCCUUUCGAGAUUCUCGCUAGAAUCGGCCCUGUAGCUUACAAACUCAACCUACCUCGCGAACUUAGUAACGUACAUUCUACUAUCUACCUCUCGAACUUGAAAAAGUACCUAUCCAAUGAGACUCUUGUAAUCCUACUCGAUGAGAUCGAGAUCAACGAGAGCCUCAACUUUGUUGAAGAACCUGUAGAGAUCAUGGACCGAGAGGUCAAGCAAACAAAGCAAAGUCGUAUCCCGAUAGUGAAGGUUCUCUGGAACGCCAAGCGGGGACCUGAAUUCACUUGGGAGUGCGAGGAUCAAAUGAAAUUGAAAUAUCCUCAUCUUUUCGCUUAGUUACUUGUAACUAAUUAAUUGCUUAAAUUCUAAUUUCGAGACGAAAUUCUCUCUAACGGGGGGAUGAUGUGACAACCUGAAACAUCUAGCUUAUUUAAACAUUCAAGUUUAUCAAUAUUAGACUCGUUUUGCUUCAAGUUAUCACUGUUUAGGAUCUAUUGUGAGUGUUCUAACUCUAAUGCAUCAAAGGAAUCAGUAUUUGGAAGUGUCAGUUUAAGUUCUGAACUACCUAGCAACCGUAAACUUCCUCAAAAAGGAGUUUACGGUCGAGACCUUGAGUUUACAGUCAUGGUGGCCAUAAAUUCCAUGCUAUAUAUACAAACCUUGGCCAUUUUCAAUCACUUUUUACCACUUCCAAGCCUAGAACUCGAAUUCUCUCCCAAGGAUCUUAAGGUUUUGCUUCCAAACUUCAAUAAUGGAAGUGAUUCCUUCCCUUUUGGACUUAAUACAUCUCUUCUUCUUGAUUCACUCUUGAAUUCAUCCACAAAUCUCAUCUUUUGAGUCUAGAUCUUCAAGAUCCUAAAGAACAUCAAGAACACUUUAGUGUUUUGGUCCGAAAACACCCUUCUUUGCUUCCAAAUUGUAAGUAUCUAUCAUCUAUACUUGUUAUCUAGUUUAGAUACUUGAUUAAGGCCUUGAAAACAUUCAUUUUUCAUGAACAAAAGGUGUUUACGGUCUAGUGUAUCUCCAUAGACCAUAAACCCUUAUUAAGGGUGCAAAUGAGGCAUUAAACCCUCCUAAAGCUUAUAAUGGAACCUAGAACCCUUCUACAAGCUUGAAUGCCACUAAAAAUCACUCCUAUGAACAAAAUGACAUGAGUUUACGGUGGUAAACUCAUGGACCGUAAGCCCUAUGACCGUAGGGUCAUUAGACCGCAAACUCAAUGGACCGUAAACCCAUUGAACCGUAAACACAUAGGACCGUGAACCACUUUGACCGUAAACUCUUAUGGUCAUGCCACUUGGACCGAAAACUCCUUUAGGUGGCCAUACACCCUUGGUAUGUAAUCAAAUGUGAUUGUAGCACUUAAAUCUAAGUGUAUCAUAUGUCCUAGGGUGUUUCCUUUCAUGAUUAGUUGUAUAAACACUAAUUAUACGCUUAUAUGUAUCAUUAUACGAUAAAUAGGAUCCAUGUGUGUGCUCAAGUCUUCACUUGCCACUUAGCAUCCUAUACCACUCGUUCAUCCAAACCACUCAUUACAGGUGAUUUCAUACCCCCUUAAUCUACCUUUUAAAUGAUUUUAAAUGCUUUUAUGGGGGGAUACAAGUUGAAACAUUAUAGUUAUUAUAUCAAUCACGUGUGAUUAGUAACUAUCAAACAAAUGGAUUUGCUAUACUUUUAGCUGUUUUAUCAAACAAACUACUUCAAAAUGUUUAUCAAACUCUUUUACAUGUUUAACACUUUAUCAAACUUGUUCUUACAUGCCAAACCUUUUCUUUAAACUCUUUUAAAGUUAUAUAUUGUCAAAACCGUGUCUAAUGCAUAUAUAGUUAUAUAAGUAAGGUUGGAAGGACUUAGGACUGAUAACUCACUUUAUUUCAUGUUCCAUGUUUGGUUGUGGACUUAGAGUACCCUGUUGUUUGUCCGAGUGUCAUUUGAUCCUUAGUUAUAUAUUAUGUCUAUAUUUAUAAGAAAUAAAAGCUUUUAUCUCAGUUCAAUACACUCAGUUAUACAAACAACUUUACUAGUAAACUAUACUAGGUAUAGUUUAGGAAGCCACGAUUCACUAUUUCUAGUACAACGAAACAUACAAGGAGUCAGUUCAUACAUGAAUCAAUACAUACUAUUAUGAGAAACUAAGAGAACAUACUAUUAUGAGAAACAAUACAUACUAUACACAAUACAAGAGAACAUACUAUGAUGAGAAACAAAGAGAACAUACUACAUACUAGACAGAGAGAACAUACACUACACUAGUACAUACAAUACAUAUACAAGAAUACUACAACAUAAAUGCGAGCCACGGUUUCGGGGCAUGGCAUCACUGCUAUGACUCGUUUUGUAACCAGAGUCUCCUGGAGGGAGAGCGUGAAUUUGUGUAUAGAUCUAUACUAGAUUGACUAUCCUACACCUUGAUGUUCGCUACAGUGGGACUUGCAAGUCUACUGGUGCCAAAUGUCAUUUCUUCCGACGUCUUUCAUCGUCGUGUUUUUAGUCGAUAGUAUGGUACAAUCAUAUCACAUUAUACUUUAAUUAACAACCGGUUUAAGGUGGUUAGUACAGCAGUAGUUACCAUAAUACAACACUACAAUACUUUAUUAUUUUCCCAUUGCAUUCACAUUGUGAUAUUCUCACAUAAAUGGUAUUGUAAAAACUAUAUUUUUGGUUAAUGAUAGUCACACUUGGGAAAAUAUACACUUUUACAAGAAACAAACGUACAAAACAUUUGAUGCCUUGGUAGAAGGCUACGUUUAGUAGAGAAAUAGGAUUUCUUAGGAGAUACAAACAUUUACUACAAACAUUUACAAACUUAUACAUCAAACACUUAUAAAUGUAACAACAUGAAUUUCCAAAACAAUUUUUCAUUUUAAAAACAUAAUUUCAUUCAUAACAAAAUCCAUUGUAUCACAUAUUAUCUCAAUAAACAACCCCAGAAUCUCAAGUACAUAAAUCUUCAUCAGUGUGUACAGAUUAUGUCGCCGCCUUCCCGCGAUCGUCGCUAGUACCAGAAACACAUAUCAUAUAACACGGUAAGCAUAAAUGCUUAGUGAGUUCCCCAAAUUACCACAUACAAAACAUACGCCACUCAAGGACAUAGCUCUAUGGGACCUUCCGAUCCAUGUGUCUCAGGGGACUUCCUUCCCAACCCUGGUAAACCUUUUGGUCCUACCCAUAUGACCUUCCGGUCCUCAUCAUCUUGGCUUUCCGGUCCAUAAACUGUUGACCUUCCAGUCCAUAUCAUAAUGACCUUCCGGUACAUAGCAUGAUGACCUUCCGGUCCAUUCCACGCUACUCAUAACAUAACAUAACACAUACAUAUCACAUUUUAACAUAUAUCACAUACUCUGCAUAGCAUAUAAGACCUUCUAGUCAUACAUAAUUACCACUCUAGGUAAAGUAUAGUGAGAAGACUCACCUCGUAUGAAGUCGGAUAAAUUCUCGAGCUCGAAUAUCCUGACCUAGCCUCCUCCUAUCAACAGGAUAACAUCUCUAAUAAAAAUCCACUCAUGUUCUCAUCUCUAAUAAUGGGUAGAAGACCAUUCUACCCCUCUCUGACCUCUCUUGAAUCAGCUUGACAAAAACCACAAGGUCAACUGAAGUCAACUCUAGUCAACAGUCAAACUUUGACCAGACUCGUCGAGUGCACAUGGGUGACUCGACGAGUCCAAGUGUGUCCUCUGGUUGCUUCUAAAGCCUCACUCGACUCGUCAAGUGAACCUUCCACUCGACGACUUACCACUGGUCAUGAAUCGUGGGGCAACCCCGACUCGACUCAUCGAGUUCUCUUAUGGACUCAGCGAGUUUCUUCCAUAGCCACACUCAAAUGACCUUAUGAGGUCAAAUCUGCUUCUCUAACCUAUAGAUCUGACCUUCCAAUACACAAUAAUCAUGUAAAGGUCCAACCUUUACACUCAUGCAACAAUCAUAGGGCUUCUUUUGGUGAAAUAGCUUCUAAAAUGGCAACUUAGGUUCCUAUCUCCAAAGAAAUGGCAUAAAGCAAGAUAGAUAGGACUCUGUGGACCUCUUAAGGUCCAUAUCUAAGAAGAAUUCCACCUUGGGCCCUCAUAUGCUUCGAAUUCAAGUUAAAUAAGGCAUAAGAAAACCCUAGAUUCAAGUAGAUCACCAUAAACACGAGAUUGAGCAUAGAUCCAUACAUCUAGCUGUUGGAUAAGGUGUCUAAGUUCAUAACUAUUUCUGGUAUGUACUUGACCCGACCCGGCAUGGUCCAUUUGGGUUGCAUGGCAUCAUGCAUUUGGAUAGACUAAAUGAGAGAAAUAACACUUGUGGUUUAUUAACAUAUUAUAAGUUAUAAUAUAUUAGUAGUAUUAUUUAAUUAGUAUUGAUCAAGAAUUAAUUUGGAAUUAAUUAAGUGAUCAAAAGAUAACUAAUUAAAUAUAUGGGUUGAUUAUGUAAAUCAUCCAUAACUUGUAUAGUGGGCUAAGAGGCUCCAUGGAUAAUCAAGUUGGGUUAAACCCAUAGGAUGAUCCAUGGAUGCUCCAAGGGAGUUACAAACCCAUGGGUCAUGGAAAUGAAGAGUCAUGACAUAUUAGGGUUUACAUGGUGUAACCCUAGAUGUGUCAACACUAUAUAAGGAACAUACUAUCCACUAAAAUCGGCUACACAAGAACAAGUAAGGGCUAGGCCGAUUUUUGCAAGCGUAAGAUUCUCUCUAAAGUUUACUUCUUUGAAUUUGGUGUUGUGUGAGGCAUUUGAGGCAUCACACUUGUUUGUUGAUUUUUUGUGCAAACUGCUUGAAAAAAUCGAUUUUCUGUCUUCUGCUUAUAUGAACUCGCCGAGUCCAUGAACAAAUGCAAGCUACUCGUCGAGUCUGUUCUUGCACUCGACGAGUAGAGGCUGCAGUUUUAAGAAUUUCGACAUUUGUUGUUGGAAAUGGACUAGAAACAUUACCCUAAACUGUUUUGGUGUUUUAAAACUUGUUUUAGAUAGUGUAAUGUUUAUGCUAAUCUAUUUGCAAUGGCAAUUAUCAAAAUUACAAGUUUUAAGUGUAAUUUUUUGAUUCUUGAAAGUGUUCAUAUUCAUGUUCUUGAACUUAUGAAGAUUUGAUGAUCAUAGGAAUUGUUUGUAACCUUCAUGGUAGUUUAAUUCAUGAUCAUAAUGUGUUUUAAUGGAGUCCAUAACAUGUCCUCAAGUUAUGGAAAACCCAAAGUCUCACUUUUAUUAAAGCCAUUAAAAGAACACAAGAGUUAUAAAAAUGAAGAGUCUUCAUUUUUAUUACUCAAUUAAUUCAUAAGUUAUAAGAAAUGAUAAGUUUUGGAAGUUUACAAAACUUGCCCUCAAGUUUUGGAAAAAUUAAAGUCUUGAUUAAAACUUUAGUUCCAACCCUUAGAUUUUUAAAAGCUAAAAAUCAACCCUUAUACUUUAUAAUAUUGUACGUUAAUAAUAUAUAUAUAUAAGAUCAAGUCGUCUUACCGCUAAUACGCCUCAUUCACGAAGCCGGUCUAUAAGGGGGUAUAAGGUUGUUGCCUAUAAAAUGGCAACUUAAUGGGUGUCCACUCUCACCCACCGCUUCCUUGAUCGGUGGAGGGUCGUUAGCCGAACGGGUAAGACAAGGACUUAUAAAUUCUCAUUAAAAGUAUGAUGAAUAUUAUAAAGUAACUAAAUGUUUUAUUAAAUUCCCAAUCUUAGUUACUUUAGGAAAAAUGUGAAUAAGGUGCUAAUCCAUGAAAUUACACUUUACACUUUGUUUAAGUCGUUGGUAGAGCGUGUGUGCUUAACCGGCACACUAACUUGGACUUAACAAGGUAGGUAAAGGGUGACUUGAGGUUUAUCAUAGUAUCGGUGGAGCGUGUGUGGUUUAACGGCACAUCGAUUGAGUGAUAAACUUUAAGGGUACCAAGUGAUUUCAUGGUUACUUCACACCUCGUUUUGUGAUCCUCGGUAUCCCAGUCACAAAACAUGGAGGGCACACUCGAGAUUGAAACAUGCCUUUGAAAAGUUCAUUGAAUCUCAAAAGAAUCUAGGAAUUUCUAAGAACCAAUUAAAAACCUAAUAUUUAUAUUUUGUUUUUCAUGGUGGAAAUUGGUGAAUCGUCAUUCACCUACCUUUCAAAUAUGUUAUAGCUUGGAUUACGGCAUACCUCUUCUAAGUUAUAAUAUAUUGUGAUUGGAUCCUAGCCUUAAUAUUACAUUUGGGUGUUUUAUUAAGGACUCUCUUAAUAUCUAAACUAAUCUUGUCCUCUUCUUUCAGAUGUCUUCAAACAAUGCUGCUUCUGGCUCUAAUCCUAAUGGCUCCUUUACCCUUAUGAACUUAUGUGGGAAAGUCACUUUUGAUGGAUCCAACAUCAAUGAAUGGAUUAGAAACAUCAGGAUGAUUACCCGCUACGAGGAAAAAGAAUAUGUCCUCGAUAAGGAUCUUAAGGAGAUUGAUGAGACCACUGCAACUCCCCAGGAGUUCACUGACUUCCGGGCACAUGAAAGGGAUGCUACCAAGGUAGCAUGCAUCAUGUUAGCCACCAUGACAGCAGAACUCCAAAAGUCCUAUGAGGACUUCUACCCUUUUGAAAUGCACCAAGAUCUGAUGGAAAGAUACCAUCAAAGUGCACGACAAGAGAGGUAUGAAAUCAUCUGCUCCAUGAUAACAACCAUGAUGAAGGACNAAAAUGCAAAGGUAUGUGGAUCGGUUGCUGAAGCUUAAUGUGAACUUCCCUGAGGAGCUUGCAAUAGAUAUCAUUUUGCACUCCUUACCUUCAUUCUAUGAUCAAUUCCGCAUGACAUAUCACAUGAAUAAGGAAGAGGUCACACUCAGCAAACUUCAGGGACUCCUCAAGUCCGCAGAAAUAGGUCUUAAAGGUAAGUCAGUUGUUAACACUCCUACUCCAAACUCCGCCCCUGUUUUGGCAAUCGGGAAAGGUAGAGGGAAGAAGAAAAAGAGCUCUACGAAGGGUACCAAGGCUAGGACCCUUGAUGGCUCUUCUUCAAGUGGAACCAAGAAAGGUUCCGUCACUCCUUCUCCUGACCCAAAAGAGGCUAAAUGCUUCAAUUGCCAUGAAAAGUCUCAUUUGAAGCGGAACUGCCCAAAGUACCAGCAACAUGUGAAGGAUGGGAAAGUUAAACUCAACCAUGCAUGUAUUUACACUAUCUUAUCUAAUAACUCACCCUGUUCUAACUCUUGGGGUCCUUAAUAUAGGUUGUGGUAUUCAUAUCUGUUCUGAUUUGCAGGGACUAAGAAGAAGUGACAAUGUGGAGUUUAUUCUUUGUCGCUAAGUAGUGGGUUUAGUUUAGAUUUGAAUAAAUGUUGUUAUUUGCUAGAAAUGGCAAGAAAUAUUAUUUCCUUUCAUGCAUUGUAUAAACAAGGUCUUACCUUUUCAUUUGAUAAUGAAGUUGGUUCGAUUAAUGCUUUGUUUAAUAAUGUUCUUUAUUUUAAAGCAUUACCUUGUGAUGGUGUGUAUGAAACUGUAUCUAUUGUUGAUAAUUUAGGAAAUAAUGUGGUGUGUAUUGAUUAUGUUGAUGAUAAUAACUUGGAUAAAGCAUCAUUGUGGCGUUGUCGUCUUGGACAUAUAAGCAAGAAACGCAUAGGCCAACUCCAAAAGGAUGGAGUCUUGGAGUCAUUUGACCUAAAGUCAGAUGAUAGUUACGAAUCAUGCUUACUUGGAAAAAUGACAAAGUCACCCUUCACAGGUUCUUGUGAGAGGGGUGAAGGUUUGUUGGAUCUUGUACACACGGAUGUGUGUGGACCCUUCAAACAUGCCACAAGGGAUGCUAAUCGUUAUUAUUUGACUUUCACUGAUGAUUACAGUAGAUAUGGAUAUGUCUACUUAAUCAAGCAUAAGUCAGAGACUUU
rnacentral:lncRNA from 1 species